rnacentral:rRNA from 1 species
CAGUCGCCGCGGUAAUACGAAGGGUGCAAGCGUUACUCGGAAUUACUGGGCGUAAAGCGUGCGUAGGUGGUGGUUUAAGUCCGUUGUGAAAGCCCUGGGCUCAACCUGGGAAUUGCAGUGGAUACUGGGUCACUAGAGUGUGGUAGAGGAUAGUGGAAUUUCCGGUGUAGCAGUGAAAUGCGUAGAGAUCGGAAGGAACAUCUGUGGCGAAGGCGACUAUCUGGGCCAACACUGACACUGAGGCACGAAAGCAUGGGGAGCAAACAGGAUUAGAUACCCGUGUAGUCCCUGUCUCUUAUAC